GAGGCUUUAGCUUAAUUAAAGUGUCUGAGUUGCAUUCAGGAGAUAUAGAUUAAAGUUUUAUAGGUCUUG
rnacentral:tRNA from 1 species